rnacentral:rRNA from 1 species
UACAGAGGGUGCGAGCGUUAAUCGGAUUUAUUGGGUUUAAAGGGUGCGUAGGCGGAUUUGUAAGUCCGAGGCGAAAUCUCCGAGCUUAACUCGGAAACUGCCUUGGAUACUAUAAGUCUUGAAUGACGUUGAGGUUAGCGGAAUAUGUCAUGUAGCGGUGAAAUGCUUAGAUAUGACAUAGAACAUCGAUUGCGAAGGCAGCUAACUAAGCGUAUAUUGACGCUGAUGCACGAAAGCGUGGGGAUCAAACAGG